CAUUUUAUUAAUGCUUUUACGAGUUAGAAGAGUUGGGAUAAUUUGCCAUCUGGAGUUUCUCUGCCUUGCUGAUCUGAGCUCAGACCUGCCAAUUUACCAGAGAUAAUUGAUAACACCCUGUAACAGCUGAAUUCUUUCUUGCAUGAGAUACAAGAGUCCUCCCUUGGGGUCUGGAUCAGGACCCCUUUCCCAUAACAGUGUGAGCAGUGGUUAUUGUAUGGGUUUUGGCUUCCAGUGAGAUGAAAAAGAAUUGGUGGAUUUUAAGGAGAGAAGCAACAUGAUCUUUCUAAUGAAGGCACCCUGAAGAUAAAGACACACCCACCUGCAAGGAUAAAAGAAGCAUGGCGGCGGGGUGGGGCUGGUAUCCAGUCUGCUUCAAAACGGAGGAGGG
rnacentral:lncRNA from 10 species